GCCGAUAUAGCUCAGAUGGCAGAGCGAUUCACUCGUAAUGAAUAGGUCAACGGUUCGACUCCGUUUAUCGGCUCCA
rnacentral:tRNA from 1 species